rnacentral:rRNA from 1 species
UACAGAGGUGGCAAGCGUUGUUCGGAUUUACUGGGCGUAAAGGGCGCGUAGGCGGCAGAUCAAGUCAGCUGUGAAAUCUCCGAGCUUAACUCGGAACUGUCAGCUGAUACUGUUUUGCUAGAGUGCGGAAGGGGCAAUCGGAAUUCCUGGUGUAGCAGUGAAAUGCGUAGAUAUCAGGAGGAACACCGAUGGCGAAGGCAGGUCUCUGGGCUGACACUGACGCUGACAGCGCGAAAGCUAGGGGAGCGAACGGG